UACGAAGGGUGCAAACGUUGCUCGGAAUUAUUGGGUGUAAAGCGCACGUAGGCGGCUCAGCAAGUCGGAUGUGAAAGCCCACGGCUCAACCGUGGAAGUGCAUCCGAAACUGCUGAGCUUGAGUACUUAAGAGGAUCGCGGAAUUCCCGGUGUAGAGGUGAAAUUCGUAGAUAUCGGGAGGAACACCAGUGGCGAAGGCGGCGAUCUGGGAAGAUACUGACGCUGAGGUGCGAAAGCGUGGGGAGCAAACAGG
rnacentral:rRNA from 1 species